rnacentral:rRNA from 1 species
GGAUUAGAUACCCGGGUAGUCCACGCCCUAAACGAUGUCAACUAGUUGUUGGGUCUUCAUUGACUUAGUAACGUAGCUAACGCGUGAAGUUGACCGCCUGGGGAGUACGGUCGCAAGAUUAAAACUCAAAGGAAUUGACGGGGACCCGCACAAGCGGUGGAUGAUGUGGAUUAAUUCGAUGCAACGCGAAAAACCUUACCUACCCUUGACAUGGUCGGAACCCUGCUGAAAGGUGGGGGUGCUCGAAAGAGAACCGAUACACAGGUGCUGCAUGGCUGUCGUCAGCUCGUGUCGUGAGAUGUUGGGUUAAGUCCCGCAACGAGCGCAACCCUUGUCCUUAGUUGCUACGCAAGAGCACUCUAAGGAGACUGCCGGUGACAAACCGGAGGAAGGU